GGAAGUAAAAGUCGUAGCAAGGUUUCCGUAGGUGAACCUGCGGAAGGAUCAUUACUGAGUGAGGGCCCCUCGGGGUCCAACCUCCCACCCGUGUUUAACGAACCUUGUUGCUUCGGCGGGCCCGCCUCACGGCCGCCGGGGGGCAUCUGCCCCCGGGCCCGCGCCCGCCGAAGCCACCUGUGAACGCUGUCUGAAGUAUGCAGUCUGAGACAAUUAUUAAAUUAAUUAAAACUUUCAACAACGGAUCUCUUGGUUCCG
rnacentral:misc_RNA from 1 species